rnacentral:rRNA from 1 species
AACGAACGCUGGCGGCAUGCCUAACACAUGCAAGUCGAACGAGACCUUCGGGUCUAGUGGCGCACGGGUGCGUAACGCGUGGGAACCUGCCUUUAGGUUCGGAAUAACUCAGAGAAAUUUGAGCUAAUACCGGAUAAUGUCUUCGGACCAAAGAUUUAUCGCCUUUAGAUGGGCCCGCGUAAGAUUAGCUAGUUGGUGGGGUAAAGGCCUACCAAGGCGACGAUCUUUAGCUGGUCUGAGAGGAUGAUCAGCCACGCUGGGACUGAGACACGGCCCAGACUCCUACGGGAGGCAGCAGUGGGGAAUAUUGGACAAUGGGCGGAAAGACCUGAUCCAGCAAUGCCGCGUGAGUGAUGAAGG